AGUGAACGCUGGCGGUAGGCCUAACACAUGCAAGUCGAACGGCAGCACAGUAAGAGCUUGCUCUUACGGGUGGCGAGUGGCGGACGGGUGAGGAAUACAUCGGAAUCUACUUUUUCGUGGGGGAUAACGUAGGGAAACUUACGCUAAUACCGCAUACGACCUACGGGUGAAAGCAGGGGAUCUUCGGACCUUGCGCGAUUGAAUGAGCCGAUGUCGGAUUAGCUAGUUGGCGGGGUAAAGGCCCACCAAGGCGACGAUCCGUAGCUGGUCUGAGAGGAUGAUCAGCCACACUGGAACUGAGACACGGUACAGACUCCUACGGGAGGCAGCAGUGGGGAAUAUUGGACAAUGGGCGAAAGCCUGAUACAGCCAUACCGCGUGGGUGAAGAAGGCCUUCGGGUUGUAAAGCCCUUUUGUUGGGAAAGAAAAGCAGCAGGUUAAUACCCCGCUGUUCUGACGGUACCCAAAGAAUAAGCACCGGCUAACUUCGUG
rnacentral:rRNA from 1 species